GUUUACCCGACCAUUAAUUACAUUCAAGAUCCUGAUGAAGUGAUUGAUUUCAGGGGUCCAGACUUCCAUGAACCAACACCAAAUAUGUUGGCCUAUUUGAAAGAGCAUGGCAAAAUUAUAUCAAGAGAGGAGCUAGAGAAAAUUCUGGCGAAAGAGAAGACGGAAGAAAUUGAGGUGGCAGAAAUUGAUGAAGCUAUGGCAAGAGCUGUUGACAUUGGUGAAAAUGAUGAUGAAGAAGAAGGAAGUGAGGCUGAAGGUGAAGAGGAGGAUGAGAAAAU
rnacentral:misc_RNA from 1 species